rnacentral:snoRNA from 1 species
ACGACCUAACUUGAACAAGAUCUGUUAUAUAGGCUCAUACCACUGUAUCCUUGAGUCCUAAGGAGAUAGGCAACCAAGUCUGGUUGAUGAGGCAUAACAAUUGGACCAGAACAUGAUUAAUAGUCCCUGCACCCUUCGGGUCAUUGUGCCGUAGAUGAUCGUUCUCAGCUCCAACAAUAGUGUUGGGAUGGUUUAAUGGUUGUCUGACAGACU